rfam:Archaeon 13_1_20CM_2_51_12 13_1_20cm_2_scaffold_2609, whole genome shotgun sequence.
GCCCCGGUAGCUCAGUGGUAGAGCGACGGCUUUGUAAACGUCAAAAAAGCCGUAGGUCAUGGGUUCAACCCCCAUCCGGGGCU